rnacentral:pre_miRNA from 1 species
UUUGGUUCAAAAAAGUUAAUUGAGUUAAUUAACGGUUCAGUUCGGUUAGUGAACCGUUAUCAAAAUAAUGGUGCGGUUCAAAA